UUACAUCAGCAGUCAUCUCUGUGAUAGCGUGCGGUUGGCCCCACCUCCAGCCAGGAGGCCCGUUUGGAUAUCCUCCAAAACCUAGUGGCUAAUACACGGUCGCCAAGGUCUGCUACGAUACGGUCUUGCCAGGCUUUCCGCCUGCCUGACCGGCAGUGGAUUGCACCCAGCCGCUCCUGAAGACCAGCGCCUGGAACAUAUGGCAGUGUGUUGUGGUUGACUCAGGCUGGUCCCUCGUGGACACCUGUGCUGGCAGAGUGGUGGUUUCGGCCACAGCAUUGCUUGAUCACACGAACUUCUGACCUAUCAGCCUGGAUGGUGGUGCAGCGGACCACCAUGGCAGUGACGGGUAACGGAGAAUCAGGGUUUGAUUCCGGAGAGGGAGCCUGAGAGACGGCUACCACUGCUAAGGCGGGCAGCAGGCACGCAAAUUGCCCCAUGCUGACACACUGGUGAGGCAGCAACGAACUGCAGCAAUUCCACCUGUCCCUGUGAUGGGUGGAACUUGCAAUGGAUGCAAUCCAAACACAGUGAUGAGUAUCAACUGGAGGGCAAGUCUGGUGCCAGCAGCUGCGGUAAUUCCAGCUCCAAGGGCGUAUACUAACAUUGCUGUUGUUAAAACACUUGUAGUCGGAUGCUGGGUGCAGGUCUGUUGGGCGGCAGCUGCAGGGUUCGCUCUGUCGCUGGCAACAACCCCCCGCAGUAUGUUCCUGCACCCGUUCUCAUGGCGGUGUGAAUUGCUCCUGCUCCAAGUCUCCUUCAGUGGGGAUCGAUGCGGUUGUAUACCCAACGCUUGUGUGUUGACGCCCUUGGGGGGUGUGGUCCAUGCCACACAGUGCCCCCAGUCCACCACCGGAGUCCACUGCCUCAGACACCGUGGAAAACUCAGUGUGCCCAAAGCGUCCAUCUCGGCUGGAUGACCGUCCAUGGAAUGUCAAAGCAUCGACCGGAUGUGGCUAUGGAGUUGUGCUGGCCUUGGUGCCCGUCUCGGGGAACAUGGCUCAGUCCCCAGUCUUGCAGAGGCAUUGCUGCAACCGUGGCGGUGUCACCCUGCCUGGCUGUUGGGCUGUGUCGCUCGUCCAUGAUGGGACUGCUCGGGGUGAAAGAUAUUGCAACGCCAGAGGUGAAAUUCUUAGAUCGCUGCAAGAUCAACUGCAGCGAAGGCGUUCUGCAAGUGCAAGUUNGUCGAUCAAGAAUGUGAGUGUGGGGAGCGAAGAUGAUCAGACACCGUCGUAGUCCACAACUGUAAACUAUGCCAGCUCGGUGUUGAUGGGGCAAGUACACGGACCCCUUCAGCGCCAUGCCCCCUGCAACGAGAAAUCCAAGCCUAUGGGUUCAAGGGGGAGUACUGUCGCAAGGCUGAAACUUAAAGGAAUUGACGGAAUGGCACCACAAGGCGUGGAGUAUGCGGCUUAAUUUGACUCAACACGGGGAAUGUUACCAGGUCCGGACGUUGCUGGGAUGGACAGAUUGAGAGCUCUUUCUUGAUCCUUCGGAUGGUGGUGCAUGGCCGNUCCUGAUUGGUGGAGUGAUUUGUCUGGUUGAUUCCGAUAACGAGUGAGACAUCUGCCUCCCAAUAGCCCCGGCCUCACAAUCGUAGGGCGUCCGCCUUGGACGCCUGUGGGUCUACCCUACAGGUCCCACAGCGGUACGCCUGAGAGGCUAGCGGUUCAGCUUCUCUGAGGUGCUGUGUACGCUACCAAGUGCAUGCAUGCUAGAGCCAACAGCAGGUCUGUGAUGCUCCCAGAUGUCCUGGGCCGCACGCGCACUACAUUGGCCCGGUGAAUAUGCUGUGCCUCUCUNGUAGAGACCUGCCCGGAAGUGGGUGGGGAACCCUUGGAGCCCGUCCUAUGGCCGUACUGGGGAUAGAUGAUUGCAACUGUCUGCCUUGAACGAGGAAUGCCUAGUAAGCGUGGGUCAUCAGCCCG
rnacentral:rRNA from 1 species